GUGGACGGACGUGCAUUUUCUUUUGUCGCUAAGCCAUAAAGUUUUUUUUUAUUGUUAAAAAUAAAUUAGUUCACUGGGUGAAUUAAUAAGAAUAGUAUUUCAUUAUUAUAAAAUUCAUUAUUAUUUUGCUGAUCAUUUGUUGUUUUUGAUUUGACAACCAUUCAUUAAACGUUGAACAUUGAAAAUUUGUGUUUCAAUUCCAUGGAAUCACUUGCAUUUGGAUUUAUCAUUGACAGAUUAUAACACUAAAAAUAAUUUAAUUAAAACGAGACGAGAGAACGAGACGAAACCAACAAAGUUAAGAAAAGCAGACCACCAGCUAAAUCCAGCCGACCAUCAGCUUAUAGAGAAGAAAGGCAGAACAUCAGCUAGCAGCUCGUCGGUUGAUUGCAAAAUAUGGUAUCUAGAUGAUGAUAAGGAACUGAAUGAGUUGGAGGUAGAAGAAGCCAGAAGAAAAUAGUUGAUUUUUCUCAGAAUGUAUGUUCAAAGAAAGUCUCAGUUACUAGGAUGCACUAUCAGAAGAAAAGAAGGAGGAUGAAGUUAAAUUUUUUUUAAGUAAUCUCUAUAUGUUAAUUGAGGCUAAUUUAUUUAUUAAAUAAAUAUUAUUUUAUAUCAAUG